ACUGCUCAGUAACACGUGGAUAACCUGCCCUUGGGUCCGGCAUAACCCCGGGAAACUGGGGAUAAUUCCGGAUAACGCAUAUGUGCUGGAAUGCUUUAUGCGUCAAAUGGAUUCGUCUGCCCAAGGAUGGGUCUGCGGCCUAUCAGGUAGUAGUGGGUGUAAUGUACCUACUAGCCGACAACGGGUACGGGUUGUGAGAGCAAGAGCCCGGAGAUGGAUUCUGAGACAUGAAUCCAGGCCCUACGGGGCGCUGCAGGCGCGAAAACUUUACAAUGCGGGAAACCGUGAUAAGGGGACACCGAGUGUCAGCAUCAUAUGCUGGCUGUCCAGGUGUGUAAAAUACACCUGUUAGCAAGGGCCGGGCAAGACCGGUGCCAGCCGCCGCGGUAACACCGGCGGCCCGAGUGGUGAUCGUGAUUAUUGGGUCUAAAGGGUCCGUAGCCGGUUUGGUCAGUCCUCCGGGAAAUCUGAUAGCUCAACUAUUAGGCUAUCGGGGGAUACUACCAGACUUGGAACCGGGAGAGGUAAGAGGUACUACAGGGGUAGGAGUGAAAUCUUGUAAUCCCUGUGGGACCACCUGUGGCGAAGGCGUCUUACCAGAACGGGUUCGACGGUGAGGGACGAAAGCUGGGGGCACGAACCGGAUUAGAUACCCGGGUAGUCCCAGCCGUAAACGAUGCUCGCUAGGUGUCAGGCAUGGCGCGACCGUGUCUGGUGCCGCAGGGAAGCCGUGAAGCGAGCCACCUGGGAAGUACGGCCUCAAGGCUGAAACUUAAAGGAAUUGGCGGGGGAGCAC
rnacentral:rRNA from 1 species